UCCAGCACUGGAGAAAGAGCUCCUGAAAUCGUUUGGGUAAGCAAUUGCUGAUUUUAGUCAAAUUCCCUCACCUCACAAAAAGUGAAGUUUCUGAAAAGUAAUACAGCAGGCAAAUAAAAUCUGCAGGAGACAGCAGAAGGAAAAGCAAUUAUUCUGAAUAAUCUACACAUAAAUUGCUGUAACUUCUCACCUGGAUUCCAGAGCUCUCAUGAAGAAAUAUGAUUUUGUUUGAUAUUUACCACCCCCUUCAAUUUUGAGGAGCGAUUACUUCCAAAUGAGGCAUGUAUGCUGAGUUGUUCUUUGACUCAUCUAUAAAGCUUUUAGCAAAUUGAGGGAAUUUGAAUUUCUAACAUCAAAAUGCAAUGUACAAAGGAGGAAAAAAUAUGACUCACCCAGCCCCCAAAUUUCAUAUUUAUAUCUCUGAUUGAAUCUGGUUUUAAAGGCGAAAUUUUAAAGGAAUAAAAGGC